AUUAGCCUGCAUGGGGAAAUUCUGUAUUCUCGUCCUGCUUGGACGUUUUAAGCUAAACCCUUGUCUGGCGUGUGAGGGGAAAUCUGCCUGUGCCACUAGCUUGGUGCUUCCUGUUUGCUUCAGUUUAUCGGCACUUUAAAAUGUUAGAUGUUAGUCGCUUGAGGUAUGGAAGAGUACACCACACUACUAUGUGUUAAUUGUGUUAAGGGAAAAAAAUGUACAAAUAUGGGCAGCAAGGUGUCACCCAAGUAACCGAAGGACGAAAGAAGAAGCACCGUGAAACUGACUCUUUUAUUAUUUUUACGUUUUGCAACUUAAAACGUCUUGUGAUUCUAAUAAUUUGAGGGUAUACGUGUGUAUUUUCUGAGCUUCAUCUUAUUGGGAAAUGAGCUUGAAUAAGGGAAUUUUGACUAACAUUUUUGUGAUGCACCUUCUAAUGGACAGAGACACAGCACUAAAGGGAGUCUCUGCUGAUUGCUUCAUCAUUCCUUGUUUCUAAUACAUUUGGUGGCCCGGAAGGCAAUUAUUGUCAUUAUUUUUUUCGUUGUUAUUUUGGACAUUGUUCAUGUUUUGUAUCAUGUGCGAGACACUUUUAUUAAGUAUUUUGAUGAUGACCAACCUGAUUGCAGAAUACUAAUAUUAAGCAGGUAUUUUAAAUUUGUUUUUAUAUCUGAAAAGUUGGGCCAAGAUUGGUCUUCAGUCCAUUUCAAAAUAGUAACUUUCUGUUUUGUUUUAGUCAUUCCAGUAUUUAAUUCCUUUGUUAUGGAGCCUAUCUUGGUUCAGAAUGUAUCUUUCUACAUGAGCAAACUAUAAUGGGACACUAUUAUAAAGACAAUAAUCCAAUGAGUUACGUGAUUGUUGGUCAAAUAAAUGAAUUAAUGGAAUCAUGUAGGACAUUUCUGACAAACCAUGAGAUCAAAGUGUGCAAACAAUAACUUGGUUGUUUUUGAACAACUCAUUGUACAAAGCUAUGCAUGUUUUUGUUUUUGUUUAGUUUUUUAAAGAGGACACUAGCUAAAUCUCUGUUUAUUGCCACCGUUUUGGGUGGGGUGGAUGUGUACAUGUUUGUUUGUGUGCA